rnacentral:rRNA from 1 species
GAUUCAGCGGCGGACGGGUGAGUAAUGCCUAGGAAUCUGCCUGGUAGUGGGGGACAACGUUUCGAAAGGAACGCUAAUACCGCAUACGUCCUACGGGAGAAAGCAGGGGACCUUCGGGCCUUGCGCGAUUGAAUGAGCCGAUGUCGGAUUAGCUAGUUGGCGGGGUAAAGGCCCACCAAGGCGACGAUCCGUAGCUGGUCUGAGAGGAUGAUCAGCCACACUGGAACUGAGACACGGUCCAG